GAAUCCUGAAGGCGGUCGACCGUCGUAGAAAUUCAGAUGGAGUCCGAUUACUGUAGAAACCUCAUUGUCGAAGAAGCUCAGAUAUUGACGAAGUCCGGAAGGAGUUCGGAGAAUAGUUGAUCACCGUAGAAGGUCGGCUGACAGUGAGGCCUAGAGAGCCUUUGGAGCGGCAUGGUAGAUGGAUGGAGAAGCUCAUUGUCGGAGAAGUCCGGAAGCUCGGACGGUCGGGAGGGUUCAGAGAGACGCCAC
rnacentral:lncRNA from 1 species